rnacentral:misc_RNA from 1 species
GCGCUGCUCUGAUUUUUGAGCGUAUCGUUGAUAGCCAAAAUCCUUGCCUCAGCGCUGCUUGUGCUAGCAAUGAGCCACUCAUCCGAUUCCCUUUCCGGCUUCAAAACCGCCAAUUCAAGUCUUGUGGGUAUCCAGGUUUCGAUUUAUCCUGCGAUACUAGCACCAAUCGGACGCUACUGCAGCUACCAUUUUCAGGGAAAUUCAGC